GGGGGUGUAGCUCAGUUGGGAGAGCGCUUGAAUCGCACUCAAGAGGUCGGGAGUUCGACUCUCCCCAUCUCCA
rnacentral:tRNA from 1 species